CCGGGCUGCUGCAGUGCCCGCUGGGGCCUGGCGGGGGCGGCCGCGGCCGCUGAUUCCGGAUCCCGCCGCUGAUCCCCGGCCGGGCCUGGCUCCGCCACCUCGGCACCAUGAAGGCGAUAAUCCAGCGGGUCACCCAGGCCAGCGUGACAGUGGGUGGGGAACAAAUAAGUUCCAUUGGAAGAGGCAUCUGUGUGUUGCUGGGUAUUUCUUUGGAAGAUACUCACAAAGAGCUAGAACACAUGGUUCGCAAGAUUUUAAACUUGCGUGUGUUCGAAGACGAAAGCGGGAAACACUGGUCUAAAAGCGUGAUGGAUAAACAGUAUGAGGUGCUUUGUGUCAGCCAGUUUACUCUGCAGUGCAUCCUGAAAGGAAACAAACCAGACUAUCACAUGGCUAUGCCUGCAGAGCAAGCAGAGUCUUUCUACAACAACUUCCUAGAACAACUUAAAAAAGCCUACAAACCAGAGCUUAUUAAAGAUGGCAAGUUUGGAGCCUACAUGCAGGUAAACAUCCAGAAUGAUGGUCCUGUGACUAUAGAACUGGAAUCCCCUGCUGCCACCAUGGACCUGAAGCAGCUGACAAAGCUCGAAAAACAGCAGCAAAGGAAAGAGAAGACCAGAACCAAGGUACCCUCUGAAUCAAGUAGAGAAAGAAAUGCCCCUCGUAAUAAGGAUGACCCCAGUGCAAGCAGUGGAGCAGAGGGAGAUGUGUCUUCUGAAAGGGAACCUUGAUCCUCAAAAGCAGGCCUCAGCUAAAGCCCUUCCUCCUAUUUAUAUCCAUUGUGUACACAAUCUAACUGCAUCAUCAAUUAUAGUUUUUCAUCCUUCUUUUCCAGACACAACACCUCAGACUUUCCUGUUUGUCAUACAAAGGCGAUGUUGGAGCCUUAAGAAUUCACAGUUUACAUUAUCCUCAGAGUUGAUCUUAAAAGACUUUGGAAAAGAAAGAAAAGCAGGAAAAUAGAACUAAGAAAUUAUGACUCUACAUCAUUCUGUACUAAAAACAACCAAAGGAAAGUUACCAGUUUCAGUUAAAAUGUAUUCGUAGUAGUGAAAAUGAUUCACAGCAUUUUUCUGUGCAUCUGUGUUUGUUUUCACAUGGUUUACUGAAUGAAGGGUGAUUUUUUUAAUGCAGAUUGUAACAGAACAUAUGACAACAGAGCACAUGAUCAAUUUCCAAAAAUAAAUCAGUUUUUCCUCAAAUUCUGACUUUAAUUCUGAAGAUAUCUCAAAGCAAGCUUGUAUUUUCAUUUGCAUUGUGUAGUGUCAUGUGCUGUCUGUUUCCAUAGCAAUGUAUAAAUCUGUGUACAUUACCAUAUGUUGUACAAUCUCUGUCUAACACCAGGUUUGGGAGUAUAGUCUUUUUUCAUGUGUUAAAAAAAACUGUCAUUGAUAAUUUAUCUUGUGAAAUACGUGUGUCUUAUAAAACUUUUUAAAAAAAACAAACCACUUUAUUAAACAAAUUACACUACCUUAUCACCUGUUGGUGUUUGAUAUGGAUUGCUGUGAUCUUGGGAACAUAAUGAACUUUAACAAUGCAACUAAUGCAGAGCACAAGUAUCUGUCCGAAAAGUUUUUAAUAGAAGAGUAUCAUAUUCCUCUCGCCCUUAAAAAAAUUCUAUUGACAAAAGUUUCUUCCUUGGUACAUUUAACUUUUUAGGCAUAGUCAAUCUAGAUCUUCUAGACACUUUCCUUUGGCCACCAAAAUUUUAGAGGCAGCUGCUCCAUCUACAGUAUCUUGCAUCUGGUGACAUUUCUAUCCGCUUGAGAGGCAGAAUAGCCUUUGAAAACUGGCAGAGUGCAGUGAGAGCAGAGAACUAGCAGACUACAAAAACUGUGGUUGCGUGAAAGCCCAGGAAAUUUCAGUCCUGUCCCUUUAACUCUUCUGAGAGGGGAAAUUAAAGGCUAUGGUGUCUGCCUCUUUGUUAGAUGUAGUAGGACAUUUAUAAAAUGUAUUUGUCAAGGAAGGAGUCAUUGUUACCAGGGUAACCCCAGGCAAGAACAUAAUUCCUGCUGAAAUAGCAGUGAUUCAUUAAAAAAAAUAAUAAAAAAAAAAUGUUUGUCAUACAUUGGUUUGAGUGUUCUGUGAACAGAAGCAUUUAUUUUUAAAAUUUCCUUGUAUGCCUGGAUGGAAUCUAAAUUACUUGUGUCACUAAAUUAUUCCUUUGCAAGAUGAAGCAUUUACUUUCUGCAGCGUUAGAUUUCCUCUGAACUCUGUCUCUGUACUUUAUGAUGUGAAAACUGUUCUAUCCGGUAUUGUAGCACUACCUGACUGACGAACUGUCGUUCUGAAUCCAAUUGUUACUGUAUUGACAUAAUUGCAGACUAUAAAACCGUCCGUGCUCGCUUGCCCAUGUCGCGUUUCCAAAUGCUGCUCUCUGCUUGUGUUUAUAAUUCACAGUUUAUUGUCUAAUAAAACAUUUGACUGAGGACAGGAAGA